GACGAACGCUGGCGGCGUGCUUAACACAUGCAAGUCGAACGGAAAGGCCCUGCUUUUGUGGGGUGCUCGAGUGGCGAACGGGUGAGUAACACGUGAGUAACCUGCCCUUGACUUUGAGAUAACUUCAGGAAACUGGGGCUAAUACCGGAUAGGAGCUCCUGCUGCAUGGUGGGGGUUGGAAAGUUUCGGCGGUUGGGGAUGGAUUCGCGGCUUAUCAGCUUGUUGGUGGGGUAGUGGCUUACCAAGGCUUUGACGGGUAGCCGGCCUGAGAGGGUGACCGGCCACAUUGGGACUGAGAUACGGCCCAGACUCCUACGGGAGGCAGCAGUGGGGAAUAUUGCACAAUGGGCGGAAGCCUGAUGCAGCAACGCCGCGUGCGGGAUGACGGCCUUCGGGUUGUAAACCGCUUUCGCCUGUGACGAAGCGUGAGUGACGGUAAUGGGUAAAGAAGCACCGGCUAACUACGUG
rnacentral:rRNA from 1 species